UACGUAGGGUGCGAGCGUUGCCCGGAUUCAUUGGGCGUAAAGGGCGCGUAGGCGGCGGGGUAAGUCUGGUGUGAAAUCUCGGAGCUCAACUCCGAAAUUGCACUGGAUACUGCUCUGCUAGAGGGCUGGAGAGGAGAUCGGAAUUCACGGUGUAGCAGUGAAAUGCGUAGAUAUCGUGAGGAAGACCAGUGGCGAAGGCGGAUCUCUGGACAGCUCCUGACGCUGAGGCGCGAAGGCUAGGGGAGCAAACGGG
rnacentral:rRNA from 1 species